AUGCUGAUUUCUACCUUCCGAGGUCUCACUUUAUGACAUUGUCGAACAGAUCCGAAUAUUCACAAAUCCUUAAGGGAUUACAUCCAGAAACGGACUUCCCCAAGAACUGGCAUCCAAGAUGGCCUCCAAAGUCCUGACUCCUUUAAUGUGCAAUUACCAGUUGUGUAGUUUCCCAUGAAUUCACAUUCAAGUGAAAACAGCGCCUUAAAUGAUAUAACUUCACUCUGAAUGCUGGCCUAAAAGGAAGCCUGCUGUGUCAAACAGGCUCACCUAAGUCUACAGAAGUCAACUAGUGCUCACUGUCAUCUGCAAGCAGUGCUCCAGUGGGGACCGAAUGUGCUUCUUCAGGACCAUCUGUAACACGGGGGUAGGGUGAUGAUUGAUCUUUUUGCAUGAUAUAUUUAUGUUAAGUAUUAAUCAACAGCUCUUGAUAAAGAAAAACACCGCGUACGCCUAAGCAAACACACAUG
rnacentral:lncRNA from 1 species